AGAGUUUGAUCCUGGCUCAGGAUAAACGCUAGCGGCAGGCCUAACACAUGCAAGUCGAGGGGCAGCGGAUGGAGUGCUUCGGUACUCCUGCCGGCGACCGGCGGACGGGUGCGUAACGCGUAUGCAACCUGCCUUCAACAGGGGGAUAAUCCGAAGAAAUUUGGUCUAAUACCCCAUAAUAUUCCGACAGGCAUCUGUCGGAGUUGAAAGCUUCGGUGGUUGGAGAUGGGCAUGCGUUGUAUUAGCUAGAUGGUGAGGUAACGGCUCACCAUGGCGAUGAUACAUAGGGGGACUGAGAGGUUUUCCCCCCACACUGGUACUGAGACACGGACCAGACUCCUACGGGAGGCAGCAGUGAGGAAUAUUGGUCAAUGGACGGAAGUCUGAACCAGCCAUGCCGCGUGCAGGAUGAAUGUGCUAUGCAUUGUAAACUGCUUUUGUACGAGGGUAAACCCAGAUACGCGUAUCUGCUUGAAAGUAUCGUACGAAUAAGGAUCGGCUAACUCCGUGCCAGCAGCCGCGGUAAUACGGAGGAUCCGAGCGUUAUCCGGAUUUAUUGGGUUUAAAGGGUGCGUAGGCUGUUUUUUAAGUUAGAGGUGAAAGCUCGACGCUCAACGUCGAAAUUGCCUCUGAUACUGAGAGACUAGAGUGUAGUUGCGGAAGGCGGAAUGUGUGGUGUAGCGGUGAAAUGCUUAGAUAUCACACAGAACACCGAUUGCGAAGGCAGCUUUCCAAGCUAUUACUGACGCUGAGGCACGAAAGCGUGGGGAGCGAACAGGAUUAGAUACCCUGGUAGUCCACGCAGUAAACGAUGAUAACUCGUUGCCGGCGAUACACAGUCGGUGACUUAGCGAAAGCGUUAAGUUAUCCACCUGGGGAGUACGUUCGCAAGAAUGAAACUCAAAGGAAUUGACG
rnacentral:rRNA from 1 species